AGGAACGAAAACUGCAUUUGUGUGAAGUUUUAUGCUGCUCUUCGGGAGGGAGUUGGUUCUUCACAUGAUAAGAUGCAUAUUGUAUUCUCUGACGGAAAUAAAUUUGAGAUGAAGCCAAUAAGAUCUGAUGAAACUGGUCGGAUGUUCAAACUUGACCUUUUUUUUGACAAGUCAUACACACAAAAUAUUUGUUACACAUACUGUCUUACUGAUGAACAAGACAAAUUUGAAACCCUUGAAUAUGAAAAUCAGAAAUACAAAUACAGAACAUUGGCCAGAGACAUCACUGAGAAGGAUAAAGUCUUUCACCAGUUUGAUGAUGUAUGCAUGCAAACAGGAAAAUGGUCUUGGAAGAAGAAAACUACAGUGCUUAACAAAAUACGAUCCAAAUUCAUUCGUGCAAUGUUAACACAGCUGAUGAACUGCACAAAUGAGGAUUUAUCAGAGAUGCAAACUACAGCUUUAUUUUUUCUUACUUGUGUUCAAUCAAGACGUGUUAUUGACUCUG